rnacentral:rRNA from 1 species
AGUCGAACGAUGAAGCCCUUCGGGGUGGAUUAUUGGCGAAGGGGUGAGUACCAUGUGGGCACUGCCCUGCACUUCGGGACAAGCCCUGGAAACGGGGUCUAAUACCGGAUACCCGCCGCCGCCCGCAUGGGCGGCGACGGAAAGCUCCGGCGGUGCAGGAUGAGCCCGCGGCCUAUCACUGGUUGGUGAGGUAACGGCUCACCAAGGCGACGACGGGUAGCCGGCCUGAAGGGCGACCGGCCACACUGGGACUGAACACGGCCCAGACUCCUACGGGAGGCAGCAGUGGGGAAUAUUGCACAAUGGGCGCAAGCCUGAUGCAGCGACGCCGCGUGAGGGACGACGGCCUUCGGGUUGUAAACCUCUUUCAGCAGGGAAGAAGCGCAGUGACGGUACCUGCAGAAGAAGCGCCGGCUAACUACGUGCCAGCAGCCGCGGUAAUACGUAGGGGCGCGAGCGUUGUCCGGAAUUAUUGGGCGUAAAAGCUCGUAUGCGGCCUGUCGCGUCGUUGUGAAAGCCCGGGGCUCAACCCCGGGUCUGCAUCGAUGCGGGCAGGCUGAGUGGGGUAGGGGGAGAUCGGAGUUCCUGGUGUAGCGGUGAAUUGC